UGCUCCACUUGUUUAAGCGCUGUCCACAUCCUAGUCCACUCCUGUUUGCCAAUGCUUCUAAUAAAAUCGAUUAGAAAUCCGUCUUUCAAAGCAUCUGCGGUACGCAGUGGCUGGCGAUGGCGUCGAAGAGGCGGUUGGACGAGGGUGUGUCGCCAGCAAUGUUGAGGCAGAAUUUGGAGGCGUGCAUCCCUAUUGAAGCCUGCUCUUGCCUAAUGGUGCCACCCUGCAAAACCAAAAUCCAUCAUCAAGACAAAUAUCCAAUUGAUGAUGAUGAUGAUGACGAAGAAGACUCACAUCUUUCCUGUAGAC